rnacentral:rRNA from 1 species
AGUGAACGCUGGCGGUAGGCCUAACACACGCAAGUCGAACGGCAGCACAGUAAGAGCUUGCUCUUACGGGUGGCGAGUGGCGGACGGGUGAGGAAUACAUCGGAAUCUACUUUUUCGUGGGGGAUAACGUAGGGAAACUUACGCUAAUACCGCAUACGACCUACGGGUGAAAGCAGGGGAUCUUCGGACCUUGCGCGAUUGAAUGAGCCGAUGUCGGAUUAGCUAGUUGGCGGGGUAAAGGCCCACCAAGGCGACGAUCCGUAGCUGGUCUGAGAGGAUGAUCAGCCACACUGGAACUGAGACACGGUCCAGACUCCUACGGGAGGCAGCAGUGGGGAAUAUUGGACAAUGGGCGCAAGCCUGAUCCAGCCAUGCCGCGUGGGUGAAGAAGGCCUUCGGGUUGUAAAGCCCUUUUGUUGGGAAAGAAAAGCAGCAGGUUAAUACCCCGCUGUUCUGACGGUACCCAAAGAAUAAGCACCGGCUAACUUCGUG